UACGGGGGGGGCAAGCGUUGUUCGGAAUUACUGGGCGUAAAGGGCUCGUAGGCGGCCAACUAAGUCAGACGUGAAAUCCCCAGGCUCAACCUGGGAACUGCGUCUGAUACUGGAUGGCUUGAAUCCGGGAGAGGGAUGCAGAAUUCCAGGUGUAGCGGUGAAAUGCGUAGAUAUCUGGAGGAACACCGGUGGCGAAGGCGGCAUCCUGGACCGAUAUUGACGCUGAGGAGCGAAAGCUAGGGGAGCAAACGGG
rnacentral:rRNA from 1 species